GAUCCUGGCUCAGGAUGAACGCUAGCGACAGGCUUAACACAUGCAAGUCGAGGGGCAUCAGGAAGUAGCAAUACUUUGCUGGCGACCGGCGCACGGGUGAGUAACGCGUAUGCAACCUGCCUAUCAGAGGGGAAUAACCCGGCGAAAGUCGGACUAAUACCGCAUAAAACAGGGGUCCCGCAUGGGAAUAUUUGUUAAAGAAUUAUCGCUGAUAGAUGGGCAUGCGUUCCAUUAGAUAG
rnacentral:rRNA from 1 species